UACGUAGGGGGCAAGCGUUGUCCGGAUUUAUUGGGCGUAAAGAGCGUGUAGGCGGCCAAGCAGGUCCGCUGUGAAAACUCGAGGCUCAACCUCGAGACGUCGGUGGAAACCGUUUGGCUAGAGUCCGGAAGAGGAGAGUGGAAUUCCCGGUGUAGCGGUGAAAUGCGCAGAUAUCGGGAAGAACACCCGUGGCGAAGGCGGCUCUCUGGGACGGUACUGACGCUGAGAAGCGAAAGCAUGGGGAGCGAACAGG
rnacentral:rRNA from 1 species